UACGGGGGGGGCAAGCGUUGUUCGGAAUUACUGGGCGUAAAGGGCUCGUAGGCGGCCAACUAAGUCCGACGUGAAAUCCCCAGGCUUAACCUGGGAACUGCGUCGGAUACUGGAUGGCUUGAAUCCGGGAGAGGGAUGCGGAAUUCCAGGUGUAGCGGUGAAAUGCGUAGAUAUCUGGAGGAACACCGGUGGCGAAGGCGGCAUCCUGGACCGGUAUUGACGCUGAUGAGCGAAAGCCAGGGGAGCAAACGGG
rnacentral:rRNA from 1 species